rnacentral:tRNA from 1 species
GACCUCAGUGGCUCAUGGUAGAGCAUCUGCUCGGCAUGCAGAAGGUCCCAGGUUCAAUCCCCAUCAUCUCCA